rnacentral:rRNA from 1 species
UACGAGGGGUCCUAGCGUUGUUCGGAAUCAUUGGGCGUAAAGAGUAUGUAGGUGGCUAGAUAAGUCAGGUGUGAAAUCCCCGGGCUCAACCCGGGAAGUGCAUUUGAUACUGUUUAGCUUGAGUAUGGAAGAGGGUAGUGGAAUUCCUGGUGUAGUGGUGAAAUACGUAGAUAUCAGGAGGAACACCGGUGGCGAAGGCGGCUACCUGGUCCUAUACUGACGCUGAGAUACGAAAGCGUGGGGAGCAAACAGG